GGCGCCCUUUAAAAAAAACAAUGAAGUUGAAAACAAUCCUCAGGAGAGUUUCUCCAGACCCUGCUGAGAAUCUGGCUACACUUGCAGGUUGAAUACAGGUACUGCAUUCAACCAUGCAAGUCAAUGGAGCCCAGCUUUCUAAUCACAAUGUGAUUACUAAAAAAAAUAAAUGUGCUAACAUUUAAAAAUAAUUAUGCAGUGAUGUCACCAGAGGGACCAUCCAGUACCAGCAAA